CAAGGAUUCCCCUAGUAACUGCGAGUGAAGAGGGAAAAGCUCAAAUUUAAAAUCUGGCAGCCUUGCUGUCCGAGUUGUAAUUUAGAGAAGUGUUACCCGCGCUGGGCCGUGUAUAAGUCUCCUGGAAUGGAGCGUCAUAGAGGGUGAGAAUCCCGUCUUUGACACGGACUUGCCAGGGCAUUGUGGUGCGCUCUCGAAGAGUCGAGUUGUUUGGGAAUGCAGCUCUAAAUGGGUGGUAAAUUCCAUCUAAAGCUAAAUAUUGGCGAGAGACCGAUAGCGAACAAGUACCGUGAGGGAAAGAUGAAAAGAACUUUGGAAAGAGAGUUAAACAGUACGUGAAAUUGCUGAAAGGGAAACGCUUGAAGUCAGUCGCGUUGGCCGGGGAUCAGCCUUGCUUCUUGUGAGGUGUACUUCCUGGUUGACGGGUCAGCAUCAGUUUCGACCAUUGGAAAAAGGCUUGGGGAAUGUGGCACCUUCGGGUGUGUUAUAGCCCCUUGUUGUAUACAGUGGUUGGGACUGAGGAGCUCAGCACGCCGCAAGGCCGGGUUUCGACCACGUUCGUGCUUAGGAUGCUGGCAAAAUGGCUUUAAGCGACCCGU
rnacentral:rRNA from 1 species